ACCCUCCCGACCUGGCAGACGCUGGGACCGAACCCGCCUCCUCGCAGUGAGCGGUCCCGGAAGCCCCGGCUCAAGGGUCCAAUCACCGGAAGUGUCGCCUAGGGCGGCCGGGAGAGGGAAGAAUCGAGUAUUGAGUAUUUGUGAAUUAGAGACCUUGUGGAGCCAAAAGGAAAAGUCGUUGAGUUCUUGUUAUGCUAACUUCCCUCCAUGACUGUGGGGAAUCUACAGUUCAUUGUCCAACUCUGGUAAAUACACAAACUGGUAUGUACUACAAAGGCAAGACCUCUAAAAGUGCAGUCAUUGGAUGCAGUUUGGAAGGCUCUGUGUGCCUGUGAUCUCAGUACUCUAGGAUGGAUCUGAUGGAAGCAGAUCAGAGUUCAAGACCUGCCUCAGCUACAUGGUGAGCCUAUUUCAAAAAAAAGUAAAAGAAAACAAAAAUAGUAAUUGUUUUUUAUUGUUAUGGUCUUUAGCUUGAGUUAAUAUAGUUUCAUACUAUGUCAGAGUUAUUUUUCCAUUUUCUCUCUUUUGGGGGAUCAUGUUAUUUGUUUGUAACAAACUAUCUUUUGGUUUGUUUUGAAAUGGUCUCACUUUGUAGGUCAAGCAGGUUUAGAAUUUUAUAGCUAGGCUGGCCUCAAACUUGUGGUAGUUCUGCUUCAGCCUCCAAAUACUGAAAUUAUAAGUGUGAACCACCAUACUUAGCUGUCAUUUGCUUUACUUGUCAUUUUACAGCUCUCCUGC
rnacentral:lncRNA from 1 species